CCGCUCCGCCCCGCCUCACCUCGCGUGUGGCGGCGGGGAGCCCGGGCCUUGUUCCCGUCUGUCUUUGGGCCGGAUAGGCGGCAAGGCCAGUUUCAUGUUUCAGGGAGAAGUGAAACCCACGAACAUACUGAGUAAAGCAAAAGUGAUACCGGAGCAGCUUGAACAUGUGAAGUAAGGGAGAAGCAGGGCUCUUCACACCACGCUACUUCCAGAGCCAUUAUCUCCAAAGUAAUGAAUAGACAACUGCAUUCAGAAGGAUACGUGGUUAAUAAACUUCAUGAAAAGCAAACUGUUCUAUUGCCAUCACAAUACUUGUAGUGAUUCAAAAUAAGCUGCAAGAAAAAUAAAAAAGCCAAGAGAGUUUUUACAACUUUAAGGUUCUCCAGUAUGUCAAGUACCAUUUUUACAAAUAGAUUUUAU